ACGCUCGACACCUACGGGAGGAGCAGUGGGGAAUAUUGCACAAUGGGGGAAACCCUGAUGCAGCGACGCCGCGUGAAGGAAGAAGUAUCUCGGUAUGUAAACUUCUAUCAGCAGGGAAGAAAAUGACGGUAUCUGACUAAGAAGCCCCGGCUAACUACGUGCCAGCAGCCGCGGUAAGUACUGAGCGGGCGUGGCGAAGGACG
rnacentral:rRNA from 1 species